rnacentral:rRNA from 1 species
GACGAACGCUGGCGGCGUGCUUAACACAUGCAAGUCGAGCGGUAAGGCCCUUUCGGGGGUACACGAGCGGCGAACGGGUGAGUAACACGUGGGUGACCUGCCCUCAGCUCUGGGAUAAGCCUGGGAAACUGGGUCUAAUACUGGAUACGACUCCACGGUGCAUGUCGUGGGGUGGAAAGCCUUGUGCGGCUGAGGAUGGGCCCGCGGCCUAUCAGCUUG